GAGAGACAGAGAGACAGUGCUGACAGGAGAGACAGGCAAGGAGACAGUGCUGACAGGAGAGACAGGCAAGGAGACAGGGCUGACAGGAGAGAGAGAGACAGUACUGACAGGAGAGACAGGCAAGGAAACAGGGCUGACAGGAGAGAGAGAGACAGUGCUGACAGGAGAGACAGGCAAGGAGACAGGGCUGACAGGAGAGAGAGAGACAGUACUGACAGGAGAGACAGGCAAGGAGACAGGGCUGACAGGAGAGAGAGAGACAGUACUGACAGGAGAGACAGGCAAGGAGACAGGGCUGACAGGAGAGAGAGAGACAGUGCUGACAGGAGAGACAGAGAGACAGUGCUGACAGUAGAGACA